CUUGCCCAAAUGGGCCCUGGGCUCUGGCCGUGCCAACCGUGGCCACCGUUUGCCACCGCCCCCCUCCCCCACCUCCGGCCGCGGCGACGCGAGGCCGCCUCCCCUUCCGCCGCGGGGCGCAACCAUCGGAAGCGUUGAGCCGGCGGCGAGGCGCCGCGGUGGCGCGACGGCUGAGGGUCGGCACGAGGGAAAGAAAGGCGGGCGUCGUCGUCGACGCAUGAAAGGAACCGGUGCUGAAGAUUCCAGCGUCUGCAAGGCACUUCUCUUCUUUUUCCGCUAGUGGUAGGUACAUGUAGAGAGCACUUGGAGCUUAUCUCUGGGAUGGAGCGCGCACAUAAUCUGAUCUGAUAAAGCAAUCAAUGAUUAACGUCGUCGUCGAACGUCGUUGAUGUGUGUGGGUGCGUGGUUUGAUUGCUCAACUCAAAGGCGGAUAAUGGCGAGAUUUGGUGUGAGGCGCGGCCCGUAGACCCGCACUAGUUCGCAGA